rnacentral:lncRNA from 1 species
GUAAUAGUAAUGUUAUGUUCUUUCAUAGACAAUGUUGGAGCAAUACCAAGGCCUGAUACAUAGAACCUCUGUCAAUAAACGGGUUUCAACAUACAGCCUUUUGACUAUAUGCAGUGAUGCAUCAUUGACUGAUGAGAUAAUAAAUGUGUAUUUCCAGCUCAUAAAAAAAUGGUUUACAAUGGAUAUACAUAUUUUCAACACGUUCUUCUUUGCGGCUUUCUGUAAUAGAGACUAUAAAAGAAUCAAAAGAUGGAGGAGAAAGGUUGAUAAAUUUGCAAAGGAACUCGGCCUUUAUUAUAUAGUUAAGAAGCAUGGAAGCAAAAAAGGAAGCCCAUUAGAUAAAUCGAAAUGAAAAAUAUAUCAAAAAAAAGAUGUGCUCCAACAACGCAAUGGACAUGAUUGUGAGGUUUUUAUAUGUGCGUAUGCCUUAAAAUUAAGUCAUGGAGAGAAUUUUAAUUUCACCUAGAAUGACAUGGACAACUUCCGUCUUGACAUAUUAGAAGAUAUUUUCUCGAACAUCAUUCGCACAUCUAUAGAAGAAAGAUCGUCAGCAAUACAACCAGCAUAUUCAUCACAUCAAAAAGCAUCUUCGGAUUCUAUAAAAUAUGCCAUCAACAUUGAAGGUGCAUAUCUAUUACAGUUUGCUAAUUUUCAUCAACGAAGUAAAAAGAUAUUUUCGCAUAAUAAUAGAAACACACAGUACACAAGUAUAUGUGCGUAUGCAUUGUGCCAGCUUUCGUCGUAUGGAAAUAAUUAUACAGCUAUAUCACCUGAAAUAUUAGACGAAAUUUUGAUAGAAGGCGACAAAUGCUAUUUUCAAUGUCUAAGACAACGCGAGACGUCCAUUGAUACCAGUUUCCUUAAUGUUGAAGAACUCCAGCCAAUAUUCUUUGGUCAUUAUGAAGUCGUUAUUACUAUCCACGACAUUGGUUGAUUCUAACCCUUCUGAGACGUAUUGGCAAAUUUGUGAACUAAUUUUCAUGAAUUAUAUUAAUGACGGAAGCUGAUGAAAAAAGUUGAUAUAGUUGCUACGCUCAAUGGAAUUAGGAAAAAAUUGGACGGUAAAUAAUGGCGAAGACUUUUGUAGUGAGGAAGAAUGCUCAAUAAGCACGUUAACAUUGUGGUUCAUGUCAUUGAAGUUUAGGUUUUCGUGAACCUACAAAUGCGAAUUUUCAUGGUGGUGGUGGAGCAACUUCAAGAAAUUCAGAUAAAUCACCAUGCUUGUAUUAUUAGGCUCAUCUUGUUCUGCAACACCAGAAUUUUCAUCGCCUACUGCCCAAUAUUCUAUAGCUCCUUGUACCAAUCAAUCACCAGUGCCACUUAUGGGUUUCAAUGAAGAUAAUAUUUUCAUGCCUACACCCAGCACAGCUCAUCAUCCAACUUCGCUUAUUUCGCCUGGAACCAAAUGGAAACAUUCUCUAACAGCUCAGUCUAAUUCAAUUGUACAAUUUUUAAAAUUAGGUUUUCCAUAAUUAUAUAGUUAAGAAGCAUGGAACAAAAAAGUGGAACUGAUGUACCAUUACCUGCACUAAGUAGUGAAGAUGACAAGUAUUGGCAAGGCACUAUGAUGAAUCUAAAUAGAAAAAAUUCCACAGAUGGCACAAAGUAUCUUCUGGAUACCCGUCUCACCCUCCACUAUUACACAGUAAUGCAGUAUGCAAUUGGA